GAAAUCAUUCAUAGAGUGUAAAGGCAUAAGGGAGCUUGACUGCGAGACCUACAAGUCGAGCAGGGUCGAAAGACGGACUUAGUGAUCCGGUGGUUCCGCAUGGAAGGGCCAUCGCUCAACGGAUAAAAGCUACCCCGGGGAUAACAGGCUUAUCUCCCCCAAGAGUUCACAUCGACGGGGAGGUUUGGCACCUCGAUGUCGGCUCAUCGCAUCCUGGGGCUGUAGUCGGUCCCAAGGGUUGGGCUGUUCGCCCAUUAAAGCGGUACGCGAGCUGGGUUCAGAACGUCGUGAGACAGUUCGGUCCCUAUCCGUCGUGGGCGUAGGAAAUUUGAGAGGAGCUGUCCUUAGUACGAGAGGACCGGGAUGGACAUACCUCUGGUGUACCAGUUGUCGUGCCAACGGCAUAGCUGGGUAGCUAUGUGUGGACGGGAUAAGUGCUGAAAGCAUCUAAGCAUGAAGCCCCCCUCAAGAUGAGAUUUCCCAACUUCGGUUAUAAGAUCCCUCAAAGAUGAUGAGGUUAAUAGGUUCGAGGUGGAAGCAUGGUGACAUGUGGAGCUGACGAAUACUAAUCGAUCGAAGACUUAAUCAA
rnacentral:rRNA from 1 species